GACGAACGCUGGCGGCGUGCUUAACACAUGCAAGUCGAACGGAAAGGCCCUGCUUUUGUGGGGUGCUCGAGUGGCGAACGGGUGAGUAACACGUGAGUAACCUGCCCUUGACUUUGGGAUAACUUCAGGAAACUGGGGCUAAUACCGGAUAGGAGCUCCUGCUGCAUGGUGGGGGUUGGAAAGUUUCGGCGGUUGGGGAUGGACUCGCGGCGUAUCAGCUUGUUGGUGGGGUAGUGGCUUACCAAGGCUUUGACGGGUAGCCGGCCUGAGAGGGUGACCGGCCACAUUGGGACUGAGAUACGGCCCAGCCUCCUACGGGAGGCAGCAGUGGGGAAUAUUGCACAAUGGGCGGAAGCCUGAUGCAGCAACGCCGCGUGCGGGAUGACGGCCUUCGGGUUGUAAACCGCUUUCGCCUGUGACGAAGCGUGAGUGACGGUAAUGGGUAAAGAAGCACCGGCUAACUACGUG
rnacentral:rRNA from 1 species